rnacentral:rRNA from 1 species
CGCGGCCUAUCAGCUUGUUGGUGGGGUGAUGGCCUACCAAGGCUUUGACGGGUAGCCGGCCUGAGAGGGUGACCGGUCACAUUGGGACUGAGAUACGGCCCAGACUCCUACGGGAGGCAGCAGUGGGGAAUAUUGCACAAUGGGCGCAAGCCUGAUGCAGCGACGCCGCGUGAGGGAUGGAGGCCUUCGGGUUGUAAACCUCUUUCGCUCAUGGUCAAGCCGCGACGUGGGUUGUGGUGAGGGUAGUGGGUAAAGAAGCGCCGGCUAACUACGUGCCAGCAGCCGCGGUAAUACGUAGGGCGCGAGCGUUGUCCGGAAUUAUUGGGCGUAAAGGGCUUGUAGGCGGUUGGUCGCGUCUGCCGUGAAAUUCUCUGGCUUAACUGGGGGCGUGCGGUGGGUACGGGCUGACGUGAGUGCGGUAGGGGAGACUGGAACUCCUGGUGUAGCGGUGGAAUGCGCAGAUAUCAGGAAGAACACCGGUGGCGAAGGCGGGUCUCUGGGCCGUUACUGACGCUGAGGAGCGAAAGCGUGGGGAGCGAACAGGAUUAGAUACCCUGGUAGUCCACACUGUAAACGUUGGGCACUAGGUGUGGGGGCCACCCGUGGUUUCUGCGCCGUAGCUAACGCUUUAAGUGCCCCGCCUGGGGAGUACGG